GCCAGACCAGUAAUCCUUACAGUAUGAAAUUUAGUGUUUCUUAAAUAAUAUCCACUGGUAUGAAUCUAUCGUAUAACCAGCUUUGUAGAAGAAAUUUGUAAGGAAGUAUCCUUAGAAGGAAACCAGUUCUUACUCAAAAUUAUUUGAAACACAAUAAUUACUGAAUAUAUCACAACGGAACUGCGUCUGCAACUAUGUGACACUCUCUCACAUCAGGGCACCUCCUAUAUACAUAACUAUUAUUUAUUAUGUAUUAUUG